UGCCUGCCACCACGCCCAGCUAAUUUUUUGUAUUUUUAUUAGAGACAGGGUUUCACCGUGUUAGCCAGGAUGGUCUCUAUCUCCUGACCUUGUGAUCUGCCCACCUCAGCCUCCCAAAGGGCUGGGAUUACAGCUGAGCCACCACGCCCAGCCUCCAAAUUUCUAAUUUUGAGAAAAAGAAAUCUCAGUAAGAUUCCAAUUUAAACCAGUCCAUAGUUCAUUAUUAGUUAAUGCCCUUACUGGGCCCCAUUUUGUUUUUUGUAGGGAGGGGAAGAUAGAGCUGUUUUUAUUAAUACAAAAUGAGUGAGAAUAUUUUGGAAAAUAACUAGAAUGUAAAUUUUACCACUUUAAGUAUAUUAGGUCUUGAUGUGCAUUUUAAUGAGUAUACAAACACAGAUACUGAUGAAAAUAGCAUCUAAGUGCUGAGUGCAAGGGUAGAGAUUCAAUUCUAUGUGGUUAGGAGUUUUUAGGAAAUACAUUUUGGUAGUGAUUUUGUAGGAGUAAAGAUAAGGUGAAGGCACUCAGUUUUUUUGAGGGGUGAGAAUAGGUUUGUUAAUUUUAGGACAUGAUACAGUUCCAGAAAUUUUUCAGGAGAUAAAUUAUCCUGUUGCUAGUAGAAUUUAAAUCCAGGCCAGGCCUUCAAAAAGGAGAUUUGAGGCAAGGAAAAAAAAACAAAAAUCCAGACCAGGCUUAAGAAAAUUAUAUUUGCUUUUAGGCUAGGCCCAGUGGCUCACGCCUGUAAUCCCAACACGUUGGGAGGCCGAGGCGGGCAGAUCACUUGAGGUCAGGAGUUUAAGACCAGCCUGGCCAACAUGAUGAGACCCAGUCUCUACUGAAAAUGCAAAAUUUAGCUGGGUGUGGUGGCAGUCGCCUGUAAUCCCAGCUACUGGGGAGGCUGAGGCAGGAGAAUCACUUGAACCUCGGGAUGGGGCAGGGGUAGGGGGCAGAGGUUGCAGUGAGCCAAGAUCGCGCCACUGCACUCCAGCCUGGGUGACCGAGCGAGACUCUGUCAAAAAAAAAAAAAUUAUAUUUGCUUUUAAAUGUCAUGUAUCAGUUAUUUCUGUUAUACAACAUUAGUUUCUAUAGUUAAAAAGUUUUAAAAGUAGUAAGAACUUUGGCCUGCAUGUUGAACUAGAAACUUUAUUACAAGGAUAAUUAAAGGAAACUUGUAUCUAGAAAAGAUAAUUAAGGGAUGUUUAAAGUCUGCAUAUAGCUUACUUGAUGUAUAAAUUGGAUAGUUGGUACCUUUGUAUUUCAGAGCUUAGAAGAGAUGAAUGUACAUCACUUUUGUACUUCUGAUCAUUUCUUUAGGGGAAAAGCACUUGUCCCAAUGUCAACUACUUUUUUUGUUCAAAUAUGAGAUAUAUUUUUGCAGGCCGGGCGUGGUGGCUUACGUCUGUAAUGUCAGCACUUUGGGAGGCCAAGGCAGGCGGAUCACCUGAGGUCAGUUCGAAACCAGCCUGGCCAACAUGGAGAAACCCUGUCUUUACUAAGUAUACAAAAAUUAGCUAGGGGCGGUUGCGGGCGCCUGUAAUCCCAGCUACUCGGGAGGCUGAGGCAGGAGAAACGCUUGAACCCAGGAGGUGGAGGUUUCAGUGAGCUGAGAUUGCGCCACUGCAUUCCAGCUUGGGCAACAAAGCAAGAUUCCGUCUCAAAAAAAAAAAAAGAUAUAUUUUGUUUGCUGUUACUAUGUCAUUGUAUCCAAUCUAUCGACAAGUCUAUAUAUGAUACUAAAAUGUCUGGCUGGGUAGCUGGGUCUCCUGGCAGAGUUGUUUAACUGAAGUACAGAGGUUAGGGGCUGAGUGCCAUGGCUCACGUCUGUAAUCCCAGCACUUUGCGAGGCUGAGGCAGAUGGAUCACUUGAGGUCAGGAGUUCAAGACCAGCCUGGCCAACAUGGUGAAACCCUUUCUCUACUAAAAAUGCAAAAACUAGCCAGGCGUGGUGGCACAUGCCUGUGAUCCCAGCUACUAAGGAGGAUGAGACGGGAGGAUCGCUUGAACCUGGGAGGCGAAGGUUGCAGUGAGCCGAGAUUGUGCCACUGCACUCCAGCCUGGGCAACACAGCGAGACUCAGUCUCAGUGAAGUACAGAGGUUAAAUAGGCUUGAAUAUUAUAUUUGACCCUGUAUUUUUAUUGUUGGAGGAGACUCACUGAUAUGGCCCAUCCUGAUAAUAAAAAACUUCUUGCACAGUCUGGAAUUUCUUCCUGAUAGAAAAAUUUACUAGAGACUUUUUCAAGCAGUAAACCAAGAGUUCUCACUUGUUACUUGGAAACAAUUAGAAUUUUCCCAAAUUAUAAGUUACUUAAGAUAUUUUUAAAACAAGUGUGUCAUAGCAAUAGUUUUUAAUUCUGGUUGAUGUUUAUUUGAGAAGAAGUGAGUUAAAAAAUAUAAGACAUGGCCAGGCAUGGUGUCUCAUGCCUGUAAUCCCAGCACUUUGGGAGGCCGAGG
rnacentral:lncRNA from 10 species